rnacentral:misc_RNA from 1 species
AAAGAAAUGAGGAGAAAUAAGAAGGGGGGUGGAAGGUGGAUAGAGAUGGAAAGAAAUGAGUAUUAAAAGACUAACCUAUAGCACAUGUUUGGGGCUUGUGGUCUUUCAUUAGGAGGGUGUAGAUCUGCUAUCUAUAACCAUGUAUGUGUUCGCGUCAUAAAAAAAUUCGUGUUCUAUGGGGUCUGAUUAUCUUGAUGCCUAACAUUGGUGAAUAUGUAUACUUAUUGCAGCUAAAAAGGAGGCUGUUAAGA